CCUACGGGAGGCAGCAGUGGGGAAUAUUGCACAAUGGGGGAAACCCUGAUGCAGCGACGCCGCGUGAGUGAAGAAGUAAUUCGUUAUGUAAAGCUCUAUCAGCAGGGAAGAAAAUGACGGUACCUGAGUCAGAAGCCCCGGCUAACUACGUGCCAGCAGCCGCGGUAAUACGUAGGGGGCAAGCGUUAUCCGGAUUUACUGGGUGUAAAGGGAGCGUAGACGGCAGUGCAAGUCUGGAGUGAAAGGCGGGGGCUCAACCCCCGGACUGCUCUGGAAACUGUACGGCUGGAGUGCAGGAGAGGUAAGUGGAAUUCCUAGUGUAGCGGUGAAAUGCGUAGAUAUUAGGAGGAACACCAGGGGCGAAGGCGGCUUACUGGACUGUAACUGACGUUGAGGCUCGAAAGCGUGGGGAGCAAACAGGAUUAGAUACCCCUGUAGUC
rnacentral:rRNA from 1 species